rnacentral:misc_RNA from 1 species
GAAGUAAAGUCGUAACAAGGUUUCCGUAGGUGAACCUGCGAGGAUCAUUAAUAAAUGGCUCCGUUAGGAGCACUUAAUAAUCCUACCUUUGUGUAUUGUUGUUGAAAUAAUUUUUUUUAAAAUAUGAAUGUCUUCCCUGUUGAAUUAGAGUGUUUUCGGACACAAGAUUCGCAGGGAUAGUCAAUAAUUUUAAAAGACUUUUUUAAAUUAAACUUUUUGUAUUCAUUGUCUAAAAUUAUUUUAUAAUAUAAAAACAACUUUUGACAAUGGAUCUCUUGGUUCUCGCAACGAUGAAGAACGCAGCAAAAUGCGAUAGUAGUGUGAUUGCAGAAUACGUGAAUCAUCGAAUCUUCGAACGCAUAUUGCACUUUUUAGUUUACUAAAAAAGUAGUCUGUUUGAGUAUCAGUAAAUAUUCUCAUAAAAACAUUGUUUUAUGGUUAUGAGUGUUUUACACGAUACAAGUGUUUCACUUUAAAUUUUUUUAAAAUUUGAAUUUUUUCUAAUUUUAAAAUAAAUUGGAUAAAAUUUCCCGUAAAAGAUAACCUAAACAAUUUUAAUUUAAAUUAGAAACCUUCAAAAAAAGGAAUUUAAUAAAUAACUUGAUCUCAAAUCAGAUAAGAGUACCCGCUGAACUUAAGCAUAUCAAUAAGCGAGGAAAAGAAACUAACAGGAUUCCUUAGUAACGGCGAGUGAAGCGGGAAGAGCUCAGAUUUGAAACCUUCAAGUUUUACCUUGACGAAUUGUAGUUUAAGGAAGUGUUUUCUGUUGAAGUUUUGGUAAAAGUUCUUUGGAAUAGGACAUCAUAGAGGUGAGAAUCCGUAUUUGACAUUAUUUUCAGCUGUGUGAUACACUUUCAAAGAGUCGGAUUGUUUGGGAAUGCAGUCCAAAUGGGUGGUAAUUUCAUCUAAAGCUAAAUAUUGGCGAGAGACCGAUAGCGAACAAGUACCGUGAGGAAAGAUGAAAAGAACUUUGAAAAGAGAGUUAAACAGUACGUGAAAUUGUCAAAGGAAGCGUUUGACACCAGUGUUGUUUUCUCGAAAAUCAAUUAAAAAAGGUUGGAUUUGUGUUGUAUUGACCUUAACAGCUUUCUCACUCUUUCCUGCUUUUUUUAAUGCACUUUUCGUUUAACAAGUCAACAUCAGUUUCUUUGUUGUAAAGGGUCAUUGGAAGUGGCUUUCUUUCGGAGAAAGUGUUUAUAGCCUUUGAUCUCUGCAAUCGGAGAGACUGAGGUCUGCAGCGUAGAUCCUUCGGGGUUAGAUACAUUUGUGCUAAGUAUAACUUUCAUAGACAAUUUUGACUAUGUUUAGUCAUGUAGCUUACUCGCUUAUGCUAUUUUACCUACGCUUAGGAUGUUGAC